CAUGUCCUUAUGAAUAAUAAUUUAAGGUCUAACCUGCCCAAUGAGAAGUGCUUAAAUGGCCGCGGUAUUUUGACCGUGCAAAGGUAGCAUAAUAAUUAGUUUUUUAAUUGAAAGCUGGAAUGAAGGGUUUGACGAGAAAACUACUGUCUCUAAUUAAUUUAUUUUAAAACUUAAUUUUUAAGUUAAAAAGCUUAAAUGUUUUUAAAAGACGAGAAGACCCUAUAGAGUUUUAUUUACUUAUUUUAACUAAAUUUUUUUUAUUGUUUUAGCUUUAUUUAACUAAAUUUGGUUGGGGUGACAUGAAGAUUUUAUGAACUCUUUUAUUUUUAUACAAUUAUUAUUGGAUAUAUGAUCCGUUGAAUUAACGAUUAAAAGAAUAAAUUACCUUAGGGAUAACAGCGUAAUUUUCAUUGAGAGUUCUUAUUGAAAUGGAAGAUUGCGACCUCGAUGUUGGAUUAAAGUUUAAUUUUGGUGCAGAAGCUGAAAAUUUUAAGUCUGUUCGACUUUCAAAACUUUACAUGAUCUGAGU
rnacentral:rRNA from 1 species